GCCGACGUGGCGGAAUGGUAGACGCGCACGCUUCAGGAGCGUGUAUCCUCACGGAUGUGAGAGUUCGAGUCUCUCCGUCGGCA
rnacentral:tRNA from 1 species